rnacentral:antisense_RNA from 1 species
GAUUCUUCCCAAUUCUACCGCCACCAUUCUGGUUCAAGCUACCUGAUACAAAAAUAUUUACCAUUAUGUUACAAUGUCUACAGUAUUCAGCACAAUAACAUGAUAUACAGGUUUGUAGACUAGGAGCAACAGGCUACAUGAUAUAGCAUGGGUGACAAAGACUUUAAGCCAACUGUCUUAUGUAUGUUCAAAGAACUAAAGGAAACCAGGAAAAAAAUGUAUGAACAAAAUUAAGAGUACCAAUAAUGAGGCAGAAUUAUUAAAAGCCCAUCAAAUAGAAACUCAGGAACUGAAAAGUACAAUAACUAAAAUGAAAAUCUUUAGAGGGGCUUAAUGAAUUUGAGUACAAAGAAGAGUCAGCAAAUUUAAAGAUAGUAUAAUUUAAAUUAUCCAGUGUGUGUCUUGGUUUGAGUUCAGUCUAAAUCAAUCAAUCAAUCAAUCAAUCAAUCAUCCAGUAUGAGGAACAGAAAGAAAAAUGAAGAAAAGUAAACAGAGUCCAAGGGACCUGUGGGACAUCAUCAAGUGAACUAACAUAUGCAUUACAGGAGUCUCAAGAGGGGAAGUGAAAUAGGAUCAGAAAGAAUGUUUGAAGAAAUAAUGGUUGAAAAACUCCGAAAUUUGAUGAAAGAGGUGAAUCUACAUAUCCAAGAAGCUCAAUGAACUCUAAAGA